UCAGGACGAACGCUGGCGGCGUGCUUAACACAUGCAAGUCGAGCGGUAAGGCCUUUCGGGGUACACGAGCGGCGAACGGGUGAGUAACACGUGGGUGAUCUGCCCUGCACUUCGGGAUAAGCCUGGGAAACUGGGUCUAAUACCGGAUAUGACCUCCUAUCGCAUGGUGGGUGGUGGAAAGAUUUAUCGGUGCAGGAUGGGCCCGCGGCCUAUCAGCUUGUUGGUGGGGUAAUGGCCUACCAAGGCGACGACGGGUAGCCGACCUGAGAGGGUGACCGGCCACACUGGGACUGAGACACGGCCCAGACUCCUACGGGAGGCAGCAGUGGGGAAUAUUGCACAAUGGGCGAAAGCCUGAUGCAGCGACGCCGCGUGAGGGACGACGGCCUUCGGGUUGUAAACCUCUUUCAGCAGGGACGAAGCGCAAGUGACGGUACCUGCAGAAGAAGCACCGGCUAACUACGUGCCAGCAGCCGCGGUAAUACGUAGGGUGCAAGCGUUGUCCGGAAUUACUGGGCGUAAAGAGUUCGUAGGCGGUUUGUCACGUCGUUUGUGAAAACUCACAGCUCAACUGUGAGCCUGCAGGCGAUACGGGCAGACUUGAGUACUGCAGGGGAGACUGGAAUUCCUGGUGUAGCGGUGAAAUGCGCAGAUAUCAGGAGGAACACCGGUGGCGGAAGGCGGGUCUCUGGGCAGUAACUGACGC
rnacentral:rRNA from 1 species